GGUUAAGCGACUAAGCGUACACGGUGGAUGCCCUGGCAGUCAGAGGCGAUGAAGGACGUGCUAAUCUGCGAUAAGCGUCGGUAAGGUGAUAUGAACCGUUAUAACCGGCGAUUUCCGAAUGGGGAAACCCAGUGUGAUUCGUCACACUAUCAUUAACUGAAUCCAUAGGUUAAUGAGGCGAACCGGGGGAACUGAAACAUCUAAGUACCCCGAGGAAAAGAAAUCAACCGAGAUUCCCCCAGUAGCGGCGAGCGAACGGGGAGCAGCCCAGAGCCUGAAUCAGUGUGUGUGUUAGUGGAAGCGUCUGGAAAGGCGCGCGAUACAGGGUGACAGCCCCGUACACAAAAAUGCACAUGCUGUGAGCUCGAUGAGUAGGGCGGGACACGUGGUAUCCUGUCUGAAUAUGGGGGGACCAUCCUCCAAGGCUAAAUACUCCUGACUGACCGAUAGUGAACCAGUACCGUGAGGGAAAGGCGAAAAGAACCCCGGCGAGGGGAGUGAAAAAGAACCUGAAACCGUGUACGUACAAGCAGUGGGAGCCUCUUUAUGGGGUGACUGCGUACCUUUUGUAUAAUGGGUCAGCGACUUAUAUUCUGUAGCAAGGUUAACCGAAUAGGGGAGCCGAAGGGAAACCGAGUCUUAACUGGGCGUUAAGUUGCAGGGUAUAGACCCGAAACCCGGUGAUCUAGCCAUGGGCAGGUUGAAGGUUGGGUAACACUAACUGGAGGACCGAACCGACUAAUGUUGAAAAAUUAGCGGAUGACUUGUGGCUGGGGGUGAAAGGCCAAUCAAACCGGGAGAUAGCUGGUUCUCCCCGAAAGCUAUUUAGGUAGCGCCUCGUGAAUUCAUCUCCGGGGGUAGAGCACUGUUUCGGCAAGGGGGUCAUCCCGACUUACCAACCCGAUGCAAACUGCGAAUACCGGAGAAUGUUAUCACGGGAGACACACGGCGGGUGCUAACGUCCGUCGUGAAGAGGGAAACAACCCAGACCGCCAGCUAAGGUCCCAAAGUCAUGGUUAAGUGGGAAACGAUGUGGGAAGGCCCAGACAGCCAGGAUGUUGGCUUAGAAGCAGCCAUCAUUUAAAGAAAGCGUAAUAGCUCACUGGUCGAGUCGGCCUGCGCGGAAGAUGUAACGGGGCUAAACCAUGCACCGAAGCUGCGGCAGCGACACUAUGUGUUGUUGGGUAGGGGAGCGUUCUGUAAGCCUGUGAAGGUGUGCUGUGAGGUAUGCUGGAGGUAUCAGAAGUGCGAAUGCUGACAUAAGUAACGAUAAAGCGGGUGAAAAGCCCGCUCGCCGGAAGACCAAGGGUUCCUGUCCAACGUUAAUCGGGGCAGGGUGAGUCGACCCCUAAGGCGAGGCCGAAAGGCGUAGUCGAUGGGAAACAGGUUAAUAUUCCUGUACUUGGUGUUACUGCGAAGGGGGGACGGAGAAGGCUAUGUUGGCCGGGCGACGGUUGUCCCGGUUUAAGCGUGUAGGCUGGUUUUCCAGGCAAAUCCGGAAAAUCAAGGCUGAGGCGUGAUGACGAGGCACUACGGUGCUGAAGCAACAAAUGCCCUGCUUCCAGGAAAAGCCUCUAAGCAUCAGGUAACAUCAAAUCGUACCCCAAACCGACACAGGUGGUCAGGUAGAGAAUACCAAGGCGCUUGAGAGAACUCGGGUGAAGGAACUAGGCAAAAUGGUGCCGUAACUUCGGGAGAAGGCACGCUGAUAUGUAGGUGAAGUCCCUUGCGGAUGGAGCUGAAAUCAGUCGAAGAUACCAGCUGGCUGCAACUGUUUAUUAAAAACACAGCACUGUGCAAACACGAAAGUGGACGUAUACGGUGUGACGCCUGCCCGGUGCCGGAAGGUUAAUUGAUGGGGUUAGCGGUAACGCGAAGCUCUUGAUCGAAGCCCCGGUAAACGGCGGCCGUAACUAUAACGGUCCUAAGGUAGCGAAAUUCCUUGUCGGGUAAGUUCCGACCUGCACGAAUGGCGUAAUGAUGGCCAGGCUGUCUCCACCCGAGACUCAGUGAAAUUGAACUCGCUGUGAAGAUGCAGUGUACCCGCGGCAAGACGGAAAGACCCCGUGAACCUUUACUAUAGCUUGACACUGAACAUUGAGCCUUGAUGUGUAGGAUAGGUGGGAGGCUUUGAAGUGUGGACGCCAGUCUGCAUGGAGCCGACCUUGAAAUACCACCCUUUAAUGUUUGAUGUUCUAACGUUGGCCCCUGAUCGGGGUUGCGGACAGUGUCUGGUGGGUAGUUUGACUGGGGCGGUCUCCUCCUAAAGAGUAACGGAGGAGCACGAAGGUUGGCUAAUCCUGGUCGGACAUCAGGAGGUUAGUGCAAUGGCAUAAGCCAGCUUGACUGCGAGCGUGACGGCGCGAGCAGGUGCGAAAGCAGGUCAUAGUGAUCCGGUGGUUCUGAAUGGAAGGGCCAUCGCUCAACGGAUAAAAGGUACUCCGGGGAUAACAGGCUGAUACCGCCCAAGAGUUCAUAUCGACGGCGGUGUUUGGCACCUCGAUGUCGGCUCAUCACAUCCUGGGGCUGAAGUAGGUCCCAAGGGUAUGGCUGUUCGCCAUUUAAAGUGGUACGCGAGCUGGGUUUAGAACGUCGUGAGACAGUUCGGUCCCUAUCUGCCGUGGGCGCUGGAGAACUGAGGGGGGCUGCUCCUAGUACGAGAGGACCGGAGUGGACGCAUCACUGGUGUUCGGGUUGUCAUGCCAAUGGCACUGCCCGGUAGCUAAAUGCGGAAGAGAUAAGUGCUGAAAGCAUCUAAGCACGAAACUUGCCCCGAGAUGAGUUCUCCCUGACUCCUUGAGAGUCCUGAAGGAACGUUGAAGACGACGACGUUGAUAGGCCGGGUGUGUAAGCGCAGCGAUGCGUUGAGCUAACCGGUACUAAUGAACCGUGAGGCUUAACCUU
rnacentral:rRNA from 1 species